AGUUUCAUUCGAAGCUUCCCUCUUUCUCUCCUGCCUCUGUCGCUCUCCUUUCUUUCUGUUCGUUCCUCUUAAAAAAAACUACAGUGCUAUCCUCCUUUUUUUUUUUUUUUUGUAUCUCCUCAUUCUUCUCUAUGUUCAGUAAUCCCUAGUCUAGUUCUUCUUUCUUCAACUCCCCAGUUCUUAUCAUCUCCUCAAUCCCUCUCUUUGAUCAGAGGUCUGCUGAUGUCCAAAAAUGAAGCCAAAGGAGUCUCUAUAUUGUCUCCCCCCCCCCCCCACACUAUUUGCUCUAGGGUGGCCUUUGGCGCCAAUUCCACCAACGGAAUGUCAAAGGGAAUUUUCACCUUUACAGGGGAUUUGUUGAGCCAGAUGGCAGCAUGGGAAUGGCGGGCAAAGCAUUUGCCGUGAAAUUCCAUGUUGGCAACUAUGACUUGCGGGCUUUUAGGGUGCCUCCAGGUGGCGGCAUGGGAAUGGCGGAUCAAUAAGUUUCUUUUCACUUUUUGUAUUUUGUAUCUUUUGUGUUUUGUAUUUUUAUUUGUUUCUAUUUCUUUAUAUUCUGCAUGUUGAUGUAUGUAUCCCCAUGUUUCCUUUUAUGCAACUUUAAUUUGUACACCGUCCUUGUAUUUUCUAGUUGGCAUCUUGUAUGUGUUAUUUUUCUGCA